UGAGUGAGUUAGUCUAGAGAUGG
rnacentral:piRNA from 1 species